rnacentral:ncRNA from 1 species
GAAGGUAGGCCCUUCGACAGGAAUUGAACAGGCAAAUCUGUCAAAUCACUCUAAUGCUGCUGUAGUCAAGCCUAUGGUAGUAAGCGAUUAGAGAAAAGGCUACAAACAGUAGUCAGA